CUGCAAGGUACUGCAUGGUUGUCGUCAGCUCGUGCCGUGAGGUGUCGGGUUAAGUCCCAUAACGAGCGCAACCCUUAUCGUUAGUUGCCAGCUGGUAAAGCAGGGGACUCUAGCGAAACUGCCACCGUAAGGUGAGAGGAAGGUGGGGAUGACGUCAAAUCAGCACGGCCCUUAUGUCCAGGGCUACACACGUGUUACAAUGGCCGGCACAGAGGGCAGCUACCUGGUGACAGGAUGCUAAUCUCGAAAACCGGUCUCAGUUCGGAUCGAAGUCUGCAACUCGACUUCGUGAAGCUGGAUUCGCUAGUAAUCGCGCAUCAGCCAUGGCGCGGUGAAUACGUUCCCGGGCCUU
rnacentral:rRNA from 1 species